AUGUUGGAUGAAUGUCUCCACUUUGUGAAGCUCGAGUUUGAGGCCGUGGGGAAGCAAAUUCGCGACCUGGAGGAGAGGCAGGCCCAGCUGAGAGAGCGGAGAGCCGCGCUGGAAUCAUCCCGGGCUGACGCUCACAAGAUUUACACAAGCUCCAGUCUGGAUCCAGAACACCUGCGAAGAGAUGAUGCUGACCCUCAGAGGACCUCAGAUAAUGCUAACCCUGAAUCAACAAACAGAACUAACAAUUAUUGCUACAUGUGUGUCUGCAUCAUGAUGUUCAUCGUCUAGCUGACUACGCCUUCCAAUUUUUUCUAAAAAUCCUGUCAAACGUGCACAAACUGACAGUCACCCCCAUAAGCUAAUACUCGUAAAAGUUGCUUUGUAACGAUUUGUAUUGUAAAAAGCGCUAUACAAAUAAACUUGAAUUGAAUUGAAUUCAGCACCAUAUUGAGACGGGUGGGGCUAACAUCCAACCUGAAGAAGUGCGCGGUUGGGCGGGUGGAGGUAAGGUAUCUGGGCUUCCACUUGGGUCACGGGCAGGUGCAUCCCCAAAUUGACAAGACGGCAGCAAUUGUGACCUGCCCUAGACCCAAGACCAAAAAGGAGGUGAGGCAGUUCUUGGGGCUGGCGGGAUAUUGUAGGAAGUUUAUUCCUGGUUAUUCGGACCUCACCAGCCCGCUGACUGACCUCACUAAAAAGGAGGUACUGUAAGGUCCAGACACUCGGCCCAAGGAAGGUAUCCGGUGCUGGAUGAAGGUUUCCUGCGUGUUCUGUCUUUCAGUGCGUAAAGUUAUUCAGUUUAGGUUAAACUCAAAUCUGACUCCAUUUUAUUAUUUAAUCUGACUCCAUUUUAGUAUGACCUCGAAUUUAGGUUGAAAUGCAAAUUGGUUGUAUGCCUUUUUAAUUAAUAUUCUUCUGACAUUUGAUUAUUCUAGUUAACUCUAUUUUUAUAUUAACUCAUUCAUUCGGGUGCUCAUGUUGCUAACAAGGAUACAACGUAAUCUACUAGUCAAUAAUUACAGAGUAAGACAGAAUAGAAUCAAAAUGUAACAAUUUAUUUACAGUCAGGUAGAUAUGUAUUUUGCCAAUUACAUAUCCAAUUGAAACACAUCAAAUCAUAUCAAUAUAAAACAUCAAAUUCUCAAAGAUGAAUCUACAAGUAAAAUAUGCAUACCUGACCUUAGAAAAUACAUAGUAUGAAGUGAAGAGACACACAACACACUAUGGGCUUUCUGGCUACAGAAAUCGCCCUGAUCCUUUUGCUGCAAUCCUUUAAAUACCUCAGACCAAGACAAACAUCCCCCGAGAUGAAGACAGAAACUAACAAUUGGAAUUUGCAUUACCUCAGGUCCCAAGCCUGGCUGAUUUUACACCUCAAUGGGAAUAGCGGGUAAUUUACAUGGAGGGCCCUAGGAAAGGACACUCCCAUCACAGUAAUCAAGAUAUCUCUUGACUCUUCAGAUCUGUAUUAUCUUCUAAUCUACUUUUGUGAGAGUGAGACCAUUGUACCAGUUGCACUGAGACAUUUCCAAUGAUACUAGACAUGAGUGUUAGUUCACUUGCAUUGACAUUUUCAUGUAAUCAUUUUGAGCAGACUGAGUAGAAGGAAGAAUGGGUGAAGGGAUUUAAAAUGAAACAAAUGGCCAGAAGGGGAGGAGGUCUCCUGCUCCUCCACUCUGUGGGGUGUCUCGAAGAUGCCCGUCUAUGUUUGUAUUGUCUGUUUCUCAGGAGUUCAAAGUAUCUCAGGUUCUUUCGUCCUUACAGUUCCUCCGUUUGACCCCCAAUGGGUCACAUUCAGAUGAAUCCAAUGGGGUCACCGUUAGCUGAUUGUUUAUCUUCGAGAUGUUAUCUCAAAAUUGUCUUUGUGAUGUAAGGAGCUUUAGAAACCUUCUGAGGGCUGUAAACAUCUGCAGAACACUCAGUCUCAGCAUGUGUGUGUCGCUUGAGUUUGGCAGGUGGAUGAAUGUCUCCAGGGUUUCUACCUGUGGUUGAGCUCAGCAUGUGAGCACAGUUCAGUGGGUCAAUCUGAGCCUUUACGACUUGUUCAGUUUACGUGUCAUUCCUUUGUGGAGAAACCUCUGCUCCUUAUGGCAUCUUCUCUAGGACGGUAGUCUGACCCAUCUUCGUGAAUCCUCUCACCUCCAGCGGUGUAGUUUUUUUUAAGCAGACUUCAGUAGGUGAAGGUGUUCUCCUUGCUUACACACUGAUUUGUGUGGGACACCUGAAAAGCAUCUUAGUGGCCAUUCAAUGACUGAAUUCUGAUCAGCUUAAUGUCAUCACCCAUGGAGUAAGAAAGAAAAGUCAUAAGUUAACAUAAGAGCAAUAAAACAAAAAAGAAACCUGAUGAAUUCAUGUCAGCUAGUGCAAGUGGUACAUCUGAUGUUAAAAGUGGUCCCAUGUAAACAUACAUUUUGGUAUGAAUGUCUCAAAGGAAAUGCAGCAAGAGGUCAGUAUAAUUUGAGCAUUAAUUUAGAGGUAUGCAAACAAUAAACAAGUCAUAUAAUGAAAAUAAGAACAUUCAAUCACAAUCAUGAAGGUAUAUACAAUAAUCACACUGUUAAUUCAGGAAUUUUCUAUUGAAAGUCACUUUAGAAGAUGUAAGGUUUUUAAGAAGUGACUUAGAAACUCGAUUAAAACAUUUUUCUACAAUGUAAAUCCUAAAUUCCUUGUAACAUGUGUGUGUGUGUGUGUGUGUGUGUGUGUGUGUGUGUGUGUGUGAGAGAGAGAGAAUGGGUAUCUGAUAUAAAGGUUAAGUCACAGUUGAUGGUUUGGUAAAGUUUAAAAUUUUAUGAUUGAUUGAUAGAGAGUGCAGGCACUUCAUAUUUGAUCAUUUCAAUAAUGCUUAUUGUCAUUAGUGAUGUGUUGGGAAACCAGGGGCCCUCUGGCUUGUCAACCAUCCUAAUAACAAUCAGAAAGAUUCAAUAUUUUAAAUUGUAAAGGCUUGUUUGCCUCUGUGUUCAAAAAUUUUGCACCAUCAAUCUGUGACUUGUUGUGCAAAUGUGUGUUACAGUGUUGUUCCAUGAGUUUUUUUAGACAGUUGCAGAUAGUAGAUAUGUUGUAUCUUUUGGGAAUGUAAUCAAUUCUAUUGUCCUGUGUGUGUGAGGCUAUGUGGUUCUGUCAGUGUGAUGAUGGACAAUAGAUCUUUAGUGGAGUACCACGUUUGUGAUCUAAGCCAUCAUUGUCUUCUGAUUGUAGUGUACAGACUGGAUAGUCUAGAUGAGGUGAUGAUGCAAUGGGUGAAAUGUGUGUGCUAUGGUCAUGUCUGGGAGAUGAAUGGAGUCUAAUCUAUAGCAAUCUGUGUUGCAAAAAUUUAGUUCCGGUUCUAAUCCGGGAGGCCAUGUAGAUAUUUGUGUGGUGAUGUUCUCCUGUGAGGUGUGAAUGGCCCCUUCAAGUGUCUUCACAUUCAUCUCCCACAUUUCAGGUUAUGUAACAAUUCUGUUGUCCUGGCUUGGUGCAGAGGGGACAAGACACCCUCCGGGUAUCUGUCCUCUAAAGAAUUGCAGUGGUCAACCUGAGACAGAAACAGAUACAAAGAUAACCACAGUUAAUUUUGAACUUGUCAUCAGUUUCAUGUGGCAUGUGGAAUUAUUUUAACUACAUUCAUCCUCAUGUACUGCAGUUUUAAUCCAGAUGUCACAUGAAACGGAGUUCGGUUGGUCAGAUGUGAAUCACUGCUCCUGUUUCAGUGCAGUCUGAGUGUGUAACACCUGAUGCUGCUCUUGCAGUCUAGCCCUCACAGUCUGCUGUGUCAUGAGCAUUAGAGACCCCAGUUCUACUGGGGACAUUUUCUAGAUUAAUUGGUGUUUUUAUCACCCAUGUCAUCAUGAAUUCCAAUGGACCAGUGUCCAUGGCUUUAGUUGCUGUUGCUCUCAUUACAGUCAGAUCUGUGGGCAGAAAUGUGUUCACCUGUUUUGGUGUUGUCUGUUUGACAAUUGUUGUUUUAUGGUGUUGUUCACACAUGCAGAUCUCUGUGGCACAUAAAAACUUCUUGUAUUUUACACCCCCCUCUCAUUAUUUUUCAAGUCAAUUUAAAAGAUUAAAAGAUCAAAUGGUGUUUUGUGGCUGUAUAUGACUGUGGCUUUGUGUAAAUGCUGUCAUGCUCCAAACAAAGGAAAGGAAGUUUUACAAUUGUUAUGUAAAUUUGGUCCUGUUGAUGUAACAGGUAAUAGCCUCUAAGAGCGAGUGUGAGGUGAGAUCUGGCUCAAAAUACUUCCAUAAAAUGUUUUUAUUAUUGCAAGAUUAGUUGCAAAUUCAGAGUUUCCAUUUCCAAAUAAUGUUAGCCAUUCUCUCUGAUCAGAUCAAAUUUUUAGUUGGUGCUCCUCAGUGAAGGAUGACUUGGUUUGCUAUCGCUUGUGCCACACUAUUGAAAUGAAAUCACACUUCCUCCCUUUUGGCACUGUGAAGCAAAUCAAUCUGCCACACGGUUUAAGUUCUCACAUGUCACACUGUGGCCACAUGGCUAUUCUAUGCUCCUCUACAUGGUUUAACUGCAGCUAUACAGAAAAUAGCAGAGUGUACCACUCAGGAGACAAACAAAUUCAACACAGACACACAUGCAACUUGAAAUUGCGAUGCAAUUCCAGUAUUAAAGUUAUUCCAAUUUUACACAAGACACAUGGUCUAGAAUGCAUGUAGCAUCUACAACCUUAAACCUAAGUGUUUACACACUUACAGUAAAGCAGUCAUGUGUUUUUUUAAGAAUAAACUAAACUAAGCUAUGUGUACAUUUAGUAGCACCAACAACCAUAAUGUGUUUUCUAUGCUCACAAUGUUCAGCACAAUUAUAAAUUUGAAAAUGCAAGCAGGAUUAUUGAAAUUUGGAUGUUU
ensembl:lncRNA